rnacentral:rRNA from 1 species
GGGUUGUGAGGUUAAGCGAACAAGCGUACACGGUGGAUGCCCUGGCAGUCAGAGGCGAUGAAGGACGUGCUAAUCUGCGAAAAGCGCCGGUAAGGUGAUAUGAACCGUUAUAACCGGCGAUGUCCGAAUGGGGAAACCCGGUGCACUUCGGUGCAUCAUCGUUAGCUGAAUACAUAGGCUAACGAGGCGAACCGGGGGAACUGAAACAUCUAAGUACCCCGAGGAAAAGAAAUCAACCGAGAUUCCCCCAGUAGCGGCGAGCGAACGGGGAACAGCCCAGAGCCUGAAUCAGCUUGUGUGUCAGUGGAACGGUCUGGAAAGGCCGGCGAUACAGGGUGACAGCCCCGUACACGAAGGCACACAGGCUGUGAGCUCGAUGAGUAGGGCGGGACACGUGAUAUCCUGUCUGAAGAUGGGGGGACCAUCCUCCAAGGCUAAAUACUCCUGACUGACCGAUAGUGAACCAGUACCGUGAGGGAAAGGCGAAAAGAACCCCGGCGAGGGGAGUGAAACAGAACCUGAAACCGUGUACGUACAAGCAGUGGGAGCCUUCGUAAGAGGGUGACUGCGUACCUUUUGUAUAAUGGGUCAGCGACUUAUAUUCUGUAGCAAGGUUAACCGUAUAGGGGAGCCGAAGGGAAACCGAGUCUUAACCGGGCGUUAAGUUGCAGGGUAUAGACCCGAAACCCGGUGAUCUAGCCAUGGGCAGGUUGAAGGUUGGGUAACACUAACUGGAGGACCGAACCGACUAAUGUUGAAAAAUUAGCGGAUGACCUGUGGCUGGGGGUGAAAGGCCAAUCAAACCGGGAGAUAGCUGGUUCUCCCCGAAAGCUAUUUAGGUAGCGCCUCGUGAACUCAUCUCCGGGGGUAGAGCACUGUUUCGGCUAGGGGGCCAUCCCGGCUUACCAACCCGAUGCAAACUGCGAAUACCGGAGAAUGUUAUCACGGGAGACACACGGCGGGUGCUAACGUCCGUCGUGAAGAGGGAAACAACCCAGACCGCCAGCUAAGGUCCCAAAGUCAUGGUUAAGUGGGAAACGAUGUGGGAAGGCCCAGACAGCCAGGAUGUUGGCUUAGAAGCAGCCAUCAUUUAAAGAAAGCGUAAUAGCUCACUGGUCGAGUCGGCCUGCGCGGAAGAUGUAACGGGGCUAAACCAUGCACCGAAGCUGCGGCAGCGACGCUUAUGCGUUGUUGGGUAGGGGAGCGUUCUGUAAGCCUGCGAAGGUGUGCUGUGAGGCAUGCUGGAGGUAUCAGAAGUGCGAAUGCUGACAUAAGUAACGAUAAAGCGGGUGAAAAGCCCGCUCGCCGGAAGACCAAGGGUUCCUGUCCAACGUUAAUCGGGGCAGGGUGAGUCGACCCCUAAGGCGAGGCCGAAAGGCGUAGUCGAUGGGAAACAGGUUAAUAUUCCUGUACUUGGUGUUACUGCGAAGGGGGGACGGAGAAGGCUAUGUCGGCCGGGCGACGGUUGUCCCGGUUUAAGCGUGUAGGCUGACUUUCCAGGCAAAUCCGGAAAGUUAAGGCUGAGGCGUGAUGACGAGGCACCACGGUGCUGAAGUGACAAAUGCCCUGCUUCCAGGAAAAGCCUCUAAGCAUCAGGUAACAUCAAAUCGUACCCCAAACCGACACAGGUGGUCAGGUAGAGAAUACCAAGGCGCUUGAGAGAACUCGGGUGAAGGAACUAGGCAAAAUGGUGCCGUAACUUCGGGAGAAGGCACGCUGACAUGUAGGUGAAGCCCCUGCGGGUGGAGCUGAAGUCAGUCGAAGAUACCAGCUGGCUGCAACUGUUUAUUAAAAACACAGCACUGUGCAAACACGAAAGUGGACGUAUACGGUGUGACGCCUGCCCGGUGCCGGAAGGUUAAUUGAUGGGGUUAUCGCAAGAGAAGCUCCUGAUCGAAGCCCCGGUAAACGGCGGCCGUAACUAUAACGGUCCUAAGGUAGCGAAAUUCCUUGUCGGGUAAGUUCCGACCUGCACGAAUGGCGUAAUGAUGGCCAGGCUGUCUCCACCCGAGACUCAGUGAAAUUGAACUCGCUGUGAAGAUGCAGUGUACCCGCGGCAAGACGGAAAGACCCCGUGAACCUUUACUACAGCUUGACACUGAACAUUGAGCCUUGAUGUGUAGGAUAGGUGGGAGGCUUUGAAGCGUGGACGCCAGUCUGCGUGGAGCCGACCUUGAAAUACCACCCUUUAAUGUUUGAUGUUCUAACCUGGCGCCAUAAUCUGGCGUGGGGACAGUGUCUGGUGGGUAGUUUGACUGGGGCGGUCUCCUCCCAAAGUGUAACGGAGGAGCACGAAGGUCAGCUAAUCCUGGUCGGACAUCAGGAGGUUAGUGCAAUGGCAUAAGCUGGCUUGACUGCGAGAGUGACGGCUCGAGCAGGUGCGAAAGCAGGUCAUAGUGAUCCGGUGGUUCUGUAUGGAAGGGCCAUCGCUCAACGGAUAAAAGGUACUCCGGGGAUAACAGGCUGAUACCGCCCAAGAGUUCAUAUCGACGGCGGUGUUUGGCACCUCGAUGUCGGCUCAUCACAUCCUGGGGCUGAAGUAGGUCCCAAGGGUAUGGCUGUUCGCCAUUUAAAGUGGUACGCGAGCUGGGUUUAGAACGUCGUGAGACAGUUCGGUCCCUAUCUGCCGUGGGCGCUGGAGAAUUGAGGGGGGCUGCUCCCAGUACGAGAGGACCGGAGUGGACGCAUCACUGGUGUUCGGGUUGUCAUGCCAAUGGCACUGCCCGGUAGCUAAAUGCGGAAGAGAUAAGUGCUGAAAGCAUCUAAGCACGAAACUUGCCCCGAGAUGAGUUCUCCCUGAGACUAUAAGUCUCCUGAAGGAACGUUGAAGACGACGACGUUGAUAGGCCGGGUGUGUAAGCGCAGCGAUGCGUUGAGCUAACCGGUACUAAUGAACCGUGAGGCUUAACCUUACAACGCCAAAGAAGU